rnacentral:lncRNA from 1 species
UGGCCGCCAUCGAGACGCCACAGCCUGCUUCCCACCCCUCUGGAUUUAGCAGAAAUGGGCUGCAAUGUCAGCGCUGACACACCGCUCGGGUUGGGCUCUGCUGUGCUGCACGCGCCCAGGCAUCACACAGGUUAGAGGUGUUACUGGACAGGCUUUCCAGGAUCUUUUGCAUCACAGCCCAGAGGCAGCUUUAUACCAGUACAAAAUCACUGAGGGAUCCAGGGCCUCCUUGAACAAACUGGGAUGGCCUUGCUGCAGGAAGAGCAGAGGAACCAGCAGCUCCUGGAAGAUACCUGGCUAUAACCAAGCUGGGCAGCACCUGCUAGUCCACCCCC